rnacentral:lncRNA from 12 species
GUGUCACCUGGCCUGCUUUUCAAGAUCUGUGGGAGAUACUGGGAGCAAGAUUGAGAGGAAGGUUAGAGAGAUUUCCCACACAACCCUUCCCCGCCUUGCACACUCUCCCCCAUCUGUACAUCAAUUGCAACAAAGGCACUAUUCUAGUGGGGAAUGUUAAUGUGGAUAACUGGGGAAGCUUUCUAGAUUUUUAAUUCUGGCAAGUGGGAGAUGGUAGGGCCUGAGCCAGUGCUAAAUUCUGAUAGGACUUGACAUUUCCAGAUGCAAAAUAUUUUACAUUUAUAUAUUUUAUAUAUGUGCAUAUAUACAUAUAUAUGUGUGUGUUGUAUAUAUAUGUGCAUAUACAUAUAUGCAAGCUAAUUGUGUGUGUGUGUAUCGGUAUCUCUCUAUAUAUACACAAGCUGAUCGCUGUAGGACAGGGUAGACCUUCCACUGUCAUAUCAUAAGGUUGAGCAGAAUUCUAUUCCUAGGCAAUACUCCUGGACAAGGACAAGUUUCUUCUCACACAGAUGAUCACCCAGAAGGAUGCUCACAGCUUCAAGUGAGACUGAUGGGAACGUCUUUAAAAAGCCAAGAACCAGAAUAUCACCCCAAGACAUCUGGUCCUCUCAUCCUUUAGUGAAGUGCAGAUGGAGACUCCUAUGUGGUCUUGGUAAGAGGAAUUGGUCACGCUCAUUAGCCUGGGCAGAUUUAGCUUUCAAAUAAUAAGCUAAAUUGAGAACUACCAAGAGACCAACUCUUGCAAAAGCUGCACUGUAGCCUGAAGGGGGACAUGCCAAUUUUGGAUUAAUUAAAAAGGUUAUUAAAUUGUUCAGAUGGCAUGUUAAUGAGCAAUCUGCAGGGCACUCAGUCAAAAACACGCCUCCUAGCCUUAAUUACAGGACCCUUAUAUUGAAAAGAAUCUGGGCGAGCCCGCAAAGGAACUCAAAGUGCAUCAGUCUUGAAUAUAAUACGAGUAUAGUCAAGCCAGGACAAAUCCAAUGAAGAAAGAUGGUAGUUCAGCUGAUACUAUAAACUGUUUCAGAAGAGAGCUGGUGCUGAUUCCAGCCAGCUCAGAGACCUGGAAUUAAUUAGAGAUAUAAUAGAUAAUGUGCCUUCAUAAUACAUUUUGGACCCAAGAGGUCCAAGUGCUUGGUAUAUUUUAUUAACUCACAUUUUCCCCAAUUCUUGCUCAUAAAAUUAGAAGCCUGAAAGUAUUGUUUCUAUUUCAUAAAGUUUAACUGAAGGUAUAGAUUUAGACAUUGUAAUGUCUACCAUAUACUUUAGAGUUUGAAUGCUGGUACUUCUGCCCAGGUCAGUACUUCUCAAAGUAUGGGCCACAAGGGAGCACUGAAUAACACUCAGCCUGAGCUAUGAUUCCAGGUCUCCGCUUCAGUCCUUCUGGGUAAAUCACCCAUAAUUCUGUAGGCUUUCAUUUACAUAAACCACCAAGGUUAAUUUUCUAGUAAAUUCCUAAGUCAGUUAGCAGUCACUAUAAUUUGGCAUCAUAAACUAAAAGUAGGCAGCUUCUAGAAUUGACUGAAGAAUAUAAUUAAAUAUUCUUCAAAGAUAGCUGGCUGCCACACAGUGUUUGACAGGGACAAAAACCUCUUAUGGUGUAUGAUCACUUGCAGAUUACUGGAAAUUCCACAAAAUUCAGGAAGGGUAACUUGUUUUCAUGGCAUCAAGAAUUUUCUUGAGUUGAUGAUUUAAAUAACUGUCAUGAUCUUUUUUGAAUUUAAAAUUUCUAUUUGUUGGGGACACCUGGGUGGCUCAGUGGUUGAGCAUCUGCCUUUGGCUCAGGUCUUGAUCUCAGGGUCCUGGGAUUGAGUCCCGCAUCGGGCUCCCCACAGAGAGCCUGCUUCUCCCUCUGUCUGUGUCUCUCAUGAAUAAAUAAAUAAAAUCUUUAAAAAAUAAAAAAUAA